AGAAUCGGCUGGCUUGGCUCCAACUCAGGUACCCAAGUGGCACUAGGAUGAAGGCCGAGCAAUGGCCGGCCUUCUGAAUUAGGUAGAUUCAUAUUCGAAAGAGACUAACAAUAAAUUUUUUUAAAAUUGAUUAUUUAUUGUUCCAUAAAAGAUGUACAAAAAUGUCUGCUUUACGAAUAAAUGGAUUAGAUAAAAAAUGA
rnacentral:lncRNA from 1 species